rnacentral:rRNA from 1 species
UACGAAGGGGGCUGGCGUUGUUCGGAAUUACUGGGCGUAAAGCGCGCGCAGGCGGUCUUCCAAGUCAGUGGUGAAAGCCCGGAGCUCAACUCCGGAACUGCCAUUGAAACUGUUAGACUUGAGGACGAGAGAGGUGAGUGGAAUUCCCAGUGUAGAGGUGAAAUUCGUAGAUAUUGGGAAGAACACCGGUGGCGAAGGCGGCUCACUGGCUCGUAUCUGACGCUCAGGCGCGACAGCGUGGGGAUCAAACAGG